rnacentral:rRNA from 1 species
UCUGGUUGAUCCUGCCAGAGGUUACUGCUAUCGAGGUUCGACUAAGCCAUGCGAGUCGAAUGUAGCAAUACAUGGCGAACUGCUCAGUAACACGUGGACAACCUGCCCUUAGGUUGGGUAUAAACCCGGGAAACUGGGUAUAAUACCCGAUAGGUCUCGAUUGCUGGAAUGCAUCGAGAUUUAAAGCUCCGGCGCCUAAGGAUGGGUCUGCGGCCUAUCAGGUAGUAGUGGGUGUAGCGUACCUACUAGCCUACGACGGGUACGGGUUGUGAGAGCAAGAGCCCGGAGAUGGAUUCUGAGACACGAAUCCAGGCCCUACGGGGUGCAGCAGGCGCGAAAACUUUACAAUGCUGGCAACAGCGAUAAGGGAACCUCGAGUGCCAGGUUACAAAUCUGGCUGUCGAGAUGCCUAAAAAGCAUUUCAUAGCAAGGGCCGGGCAAGACCGGUGCCAGCCGCCGCGGUAACACCGGCGGCUCGAGUGGUAACCGUUAUUAUUGGGUCUAAAGGGUCUGUAGCCGGCCGGAUAAGUCUCUUGAGAAAUCUGGCAGCUUAACUGUCAGGCUUUCAGGAGAUACUGUCUGGCUCGAGGCCGGGAGAGGUGAGAGGUACUUCAGGGGUAGGGGUGAAAUCUUGUAAUCCUUGAAGGACCACCAGUGGCGAAGGCGUCUCACCAGAACGGACCUGACGGCAAGGGACGAAAGCUAGGGGCACGAACCGGAUUAGAUACCCGGGUAGUCCUAGCCGUAAACGAUACUCGCUAGGUGUCGGCCACGGUGCGACCGUUGUCGGUGCCGUAGGGAAGCCGUGAAGCGAGCCACCUGGGAAGUACGGCCGCAAGGCUGAAACUUAAAGGAAUUGGCGGGGGAGCACCACAACGGGUGGAGCUUGCGGUUUAAUUGGGAUUCAACGCCCGGA